rnacentral:rRNA from 1 species
AUUGAACGCUGGCGGCAUGCCUUACACAUGCAAGUCGAACGGCAGCGGACCUUCGGGUGCCGGCGAGUGGCGAACGGGUGAGUAAUGCAUCGGAACGUACCUUUCAGUGGGGGAUAACGUAGCGAAAGUUACGCUAAUACCGCAUAUUCUGUGAGCAGGAAAGCAGGGGAUCGCAAGACCUUGCGCUGAUUGAGCGGCCGAUGUCAGAUUAGCUAGUUGGUGAGGUAAAGGCUCACCAAGGCGACGAUCUGUAGCGGGUCUGAGAGGAUGAUCCGCCACACUGGAGCUGAGACACGGACCAGACUCCUACGGGAGGCAGCAGUGGGGAAUUUUGGACAAUGGGGGCCACCCUGAUCCAGCCAUGCCGCGUGAGUGAAGAAGGCCUUCGGGUUGUAAAGCUCUUUCGGCCGGGAAGAAAUCGCACGGGCUAAUACCCUGUGUGGAUGACGGUACCGGAAUAAGAAGCACCGGCUAACUACAUGCCAGCCGCCGCGGUAACAC